rnacentral:rRNA from 1 species
AUUGAACGCUGGCGGCAGGCCUAACACAUGCAAGUCGAACGGCAGCACAGAAGAGCUUGCUCUUUGGGUGGCGAGUGGCGGACGGGUGAGUAAUGUCUGGGAAACUGCCCGAUGGAGGGGGAUAACUACUGGAAACGGUAGCUAAUACCGCAUAACGUCGCGAGACCAAAGUGGGGGACCUUCGGGCCUCACACCAUCCGAUGUGCCCGGAUGGGAUUAGCUAGUAGGUGGGGUAAUGGCUCGCCUAGGCGACGAUCCCUAGCUGGUCUGAGAGGAUGACCAGCCACACUGGAACUGAGACACGGUCCAGACUCCUACGGGAGGCAGCAGUGGGGAAUAUUGCACAAUGGGCGCAAGCCUGAUGCAGCCAUGCCGCGUGUAUGAAGAAGGCCUUCGGGUUGUAAAGUACUUUCAGCGGGGAGGAAGGCGGUGAGGUUAAUAACCUUGCCGAUUGACGUUACCCGCAGAAGAAGCACCGGCUAACUCCGUGCCAGCCGCCGCGGUAACAC